AUUAGACGAAUCAUCUGGAAAGAUGAAUCAAAGAAGGUAAUAAUCCUGUAGUCGAAAAUGUUGUCUCUCUUGAGUGGAUCCUGAGUACGACGGAGCACGUGAAAUUCCGUCGGAAUCUGGGAGGACCAUCUCCUAAGGCUAAAUACUCUCUAGUGACCGAUAGUGAACCAGUACCGUGAGGGAAAGGUGAAAAGCACCCCGGAAGGGGAGUGAAAUAGAACCUGAAACCGUGUGCUUACAAGUAGUCAGAGCCCGUUAAUGGGUGAUGGCGUGCCUUUUGUAGAAUGAACCGGCGAGUUACGAUUUGAUGCAAGGUUAAGCAGUAAAUGUGGAGCCGUAGCGAAAGCGAGUCUGAAUAGGGCGUUUAGUAUUUGGUCGUAGACCCGAAACCAGGUGAUCUACCCUUGGUCAGGUUGAAGUUCAGGUAACACUGAAUGGAGGACCGAACCGACUUACGUUGAAAAGUGAGCGGAUGAACUGAGGGUAGCGGAGAAAUUCCAAUCGAACCUGGAGAUAGCUGGUUCUCUCCGAAAUAGCUUUAGGGCUAGCCUCAAGUGAUGAUUAUUGGAGGUAGAGCACUGUUUGGACGAGGGGCCCCUCUCGGGUUACCGAAUUCAGACAAACUCCGAAUGCCAAUUAAUUUAACUUGGGAGUCAGAACAUGGGUGAUAAGGUCCGUGUUCGAAAGGGAAACAGCCCAGACCACCAGCUAAGGUCCCAAAAUAUAUGUUAAGUGGAAAAGGAUGUGGCGUUGCCCAGACAACUAGGAUGUUGGCUUAGAAGCAGCCAUCAUUUAAAGAGUGCGUAAUAGCUCACUAGUCGAGUGACACUGCGCCGAAAAUGUACCGGGGCUAAACAUAUUACCGAAGCUGUGGAUUGUCCUUUGGACAAUGGUAGGAGAGCGUUCUAAGGGCGUUGAAGCAUGAUCGUAAGGACAUGUGGAGCGCUUAGAAGUGAGAAUGCCGGUGUGAGUAGCGAAAGACGGGUGAGAAUCCCGUCCACCGAUUGACUAAGGUUUCCAGAGGAAGGCUCGUCCGCUCUGGGUUAGUCGGGUCCUAAGCUGAGGCCGACAGGCGUAGGCGAUGGAUAACAGGUUGAUAUUCCUGUACCACCUAUAAUCGUUUUAAUCGAUGGGGGGACGCAGUAGGAUAGGCGAAGCGUGCGAUUGGAUUGCACGUCUAAGCAGUAAGGCUGAGUAUUAGGCAAAUCCGGUACUCGUUAAGGCUGAG
rnacentral:rRNA from 1 species